GCUUCAUAGGCAUUAAAAAAAACGUUGGGUCCUCUUUGGCAGCAAUAGUGGAAUCUAAUUUUUCCCCUUACUACCAAGAAUCCGGAGUGUGGCUUAUCAGGAAAAACACUGAUUGCUGUUUCAAGAUUGGGACUCCAUUUCUGAAAUGCCUUCCACUGAGAUUCUGAUCAGAAGCAAUUGAUACUAAGAUGGCAUCUUUCCUAAAGUUACCGUUCACUUUCCUACUGUUGAAUGUUUUAAGUGACAGUCAAGCAGGAGCUGGUAAUUUAUCUUGUUC